rnacentral:tRNA from 2 species
GGGCGAUUAGCUCAGUUGGUUUAGAGUGCCGCGUUCACAUCGCGGAGGUCACUGGUUCGAGUCCAGUAUCGCCUA